rnacentral:rRNA from 1 species
UACGUAGGUGGCAAGCGUUAUCCGGAAUUAUUGGGCGUAAAGCGCGCGCAGGCGGUUUCUUAAGUCUGAUGUGAAAGCCCACGGCUCGACCGUGGAGGGUCAUUGGAAACUGGGGGACUUGAGUGCAGGAGAGAAGAGUGGAAUUCCACGUGUAGCGGUGAAAUGCGUAGAGAUGUGGAGGAACACCAGUGGCGAAGGCGACUCUUUGGCCUGUAACUGACGCUGAGGCGCGAAAGCGUGGGGAGCAAACAGG